rnacentral:piRNA from 1 species
UGUAUGCAUGAGCCUAGUGUCCA